UACGAAGGACCCGAGCGUUAUCCGGAUUUAUUGGGUUUAAAGGGUGCGUAGGCGGAUUAAUAAGUCAGUGGUGAAAGCCCAUCGCUUAACGAUGGAACUGCCAUUGAUACUGCUAGUCUUGAGUAUGGUUGAGGUGGGCGGAAUGUGUCAUGUAGCGGUGAAAUGCUUAGAUAUGACAUAGAACACCAAUUGCGAAGGCAGCUCACUAAGCAAAUAUUGACGCUGAGGCACGAAAGCGUGGGGAUCAAACAGG
rnacentral:rRNA from 1 species